AAACCAGAAACAGAUGGACUAAUCCAAGCUCCUCAGAGCAGACGGCGUCUCAAGCUCCCUGCGUUGAGGAACGGAGCUCCCCUGCAGAGAGCUGCAGCCGUGGAAUAAUUGACUCUAGCUCUGCCGCAGAAAGAACACCCUGAGAAGUUUAAAUCAUUAGCCUUUCCACUGGCCCCAUGGUCAACAACUGAUGGGAAGAUGUGUCCUCGUCUGAUCCUUGGGGUCACAAGCAUCACCCAGCUGCCAGACGCUGGGUAUCAUGGACCUGCUGGGGUGAUUCAGUAUCUACUGCACCUCUAGCUGGUAGAGAGCCUGCUUCCCUGCACUGAGUUCCAGAGCCCAUUCUUUAUCAUCUGAAACUGUUCCUGAGACCUUCCAGGAACAUCCUGCUGAACGGGUGGUACCUGCCUCUCAAGAUGAGAGAAGCUGAACCUCUUCCUUGUGUCAAGAGGAACAGGCAUUGGAUGCAACCUCCCAUCCUGCACCAGGGAACUGAAAGCUCAGCGGCUCAUCAGGCACCAAACAGAGAGCGAGAUGGUGGUCCCCACUGCCACUCUGGGAUUCUGAACAAAAGAAUCUGUGUCCUGCAGCGUCAAGAGCGUCCCAUACCCUCUGGGAUCAGUAACAAGAAUACCGAGUACAUAGAUUUGCAGCAGCUAUGAUUCUUCUGAUGUUUCUUCCCUAAGAGUCCAUUUCUGAGCUGACUGUUUAGCAGAGCCGUUUGGCAUCUGUGACAGAAGAGCCAGGAACUGUCUGUUGAUGCUAAGACUGAAUGGUCUUGGUUAAUUUAUUUCAACAACCAACAAUAUGAAAAUGAGAGAGAGGGUAGAAUCCCCUGUUGGAGGAUAACACGUGCCUGUUUCAUGAUGCCUUACAGUGGUUAUCCUGCUGAAAGGAGCAUGGCGUUGGCAAUGACUGUGGUAUUGACAUAGUCUGAGUCCU
ensembl:lncRNA